rnacentral:rRNA from 1 species
GACAGAGGUGCCGAGCGUUAGGCGGAAUCACUGGGCUUAAAGCGUGUGUAGGCGGGUCCGUAAGUACCUUGUGAAAUCCCACGGCUCAACCGUGGAACUGCUUGGUAUACUGCGGGUCUUGAGCCACUUAGGGGCAAGCGGAACAAACGGUGGAGCGGUGAAAUGCGUAGAUAUCGUUUGGAACGCCAAUGGUGAAAACAGCUUGCUGGGAGUGUGCUGACGCUGAGACACGAAAGCCAGGGGAGCAAACGGG